GCAUAUCAAUAAGCGGAGGAAAAGAAACUAACAAGGAUUCCCCUAGUAACUGCGAGUGAAGCGGGAAAAGCUCAAAUUUAAAAUCUGGCAGUCUCUGGCUGUCCGAGUUGUAGUCUGGAGAAGUGUUUUCCGCGCUGAACCGUGUACAAGUCUCCUGGAACGGAGCGUCAUAGAGGGUGAGAAUCCCGUCUUUGACACGGACUACCAGUGCUUUGUGAUGCGCUCUCAAAGAGUCGAGUUGUUUGGGAAUGCAGCUCAAAAUGGGUGGUAAACUCCAUCUAAAGCUAAAUAUUGGCGAGAGACCGAUAGCGAACAAGUACCGUGAGGGAAAGAUGAAAAGCACUUUGGAAAGAGAGUUAAACAGUACGUGAAAUUGCUGAAAGGGAAACGCUUGAAGUCAGUCGCGUUUGCUAGGACUCAGCCUUGCAUUCGCUAAGGUGCAUUUCCUAGUAGACGGGCCAGCAUCACUUUUGGCUGCGGGAAAAAGGUCAGAGGAAUGUGGCACCUCCGGGUGUGUUAUAGCCUCUGGUUGUAUACCGUGGCUGGGAGUGAGGAACUCAGCACGCCUUCAUGGCGGGGCUUCGGCCACCUUCGUGCUUAGGAUGCUGGCGUAAUGGCUUUAAACGACCCGUCUUGAAACACGGACCAAGGAGUCUAACAUGCCUGCGAGUGUUUGGGUGGAAAACCCGAGCGCGUAAUGAAAGUGAAAGUUGGGACCUCUGUCGUGGAGGGCACCGACGCCCGGACCAGACCUUCUGUGACGGAUCCGCGGUAGAGCAUGUAUGUUGGGACCCGAAAGAUGGUGAACUAUGCCUGAAUAGGGUGAAGCCAGAGGAAACUCUGGUGGAGGCUCGUAGCGAUUCUGACGUGCAAAUCGAUCGUCAAAUUUGGGUAUAGGGGCGAAAGACUAAUCGAACCAUCUAGUAGCU
rnacentral:rRNA from 1 species